rnacentral:RNase_P_RNA from 1 species
CCUGGUCUCUGGACGGCCGCCGGCGGGACAUUGCCCCGCGGGAGGAAAGUCCGGGCUCCACAGGGCAAGGUGGUGGGCAACGCCCACCGUCCGCAAGGACAGGGAAAGUGCCACAGAGAACAGACCGCCGGACGGCUGGUUCGCCAGCGACGGCAAGGGUGAAACGGCGAGGCAAGAGCUCACCGCGGAUCGGGCGACCGAUCCGGCACGGCAAACCCCACCUGGAGGAAGACCGAGUAGGAGGAUCGCGCUGCCCGCGCCCAGGUCCUCGGGUAGGUCGUUGGCGGCCGUCCGCGAGGACGGCCCUAGAGAAAUGGCCGUCACCGUCCUUCGGGGCGGCACCAGAACCCGGCUUACGGAGACCAGGCACU